UCUUAUUUCACCUUUGCAAGUCUGAAAAUAUAUAUAUGUGUAUGUAUGUAUGUUAUAUCUCCAGAGCAUUAUAAGCAAGGAUAAUUGAUAAUGAAUUUCUGAAAUAUACAGGGAAGGUAUCACUGUUACACUGCCACUGUAGACAUCUAAGUUUCUUUAUAAAGAAUUAUCUAAGGGAUUUUAAAAAUAUAAUUUUUUUCUUGUUGUUAAGGUUAAAUUUUUUCAACCUGUUACCAGCAGCAAGGCUGUUUACACACCACAACUGUCUAUAGGCACAUUCAAUCACAGAUAAAGCCUUUUUGCUUUCUUAUUACACUCCAUGUUACUACCCUGGCUAAUCACUACCACCCACUAGAUAUAGCCAAAAUGUUAGCAACUGUGAUGAAGAGAAGGAAAAAGAACUAACUUGCUAUACAAAGCUUUAUGCUGUGAUGUUUUAUAAAGCUGACACUGUCAGUCAAUGCCCAUCAGGAUUGCUUGCGCAAAGCCAAGGGCUUACUAUUGAUUUAACUGGAGUUGAGAUAAAGUUCAGUUAUGCAGUGCAAUAAUUUGCAGGAUGUUAACAGGGUUUCAGAGUAUGUAUUGUGAGACAGGAAAAACACAGAACUGUAUGGAUGGGACACAGCCCUGGGACCAGUGACUGACAGACUAACAGAGAAAACUCCAUAUGUAUCAAACACCUGGGCAACAUGUUCUGUGUUACUGAUAUCUGAGAUACAAAAGUUGUAAAACAUAUGCAGGGGAGUCAGUUCUGAUUUCUCUUUCCAUUACCAGGUAGCAACACAGAUCAAGAAACUAAUCAGAUCGGCAUUCACUGUGUGAUUAUCAGAAGAAUAAUACUUUUUAAUAUAAGUGAAUUUAAAAGAAUAUAAUGCUCAUUUUUAAAAGAACAAAAUGUAAUAUCACCAGUGACACAAAGACCCAUCUGUUAAGCUAUAUAGGGGGCUCAGUGGAUCAUAAAAAGGCCAAAAGGAAGUUUUACAUAAACAUAGACGUAGACACAGAUACGGACACAUACAUAUAGCUACAGAUACGGAUGGACAAAACCAAAGAAAUUUCCCAGAUAAAGCAAUCAAGUAAAACUCCUUGGCAUAGAGUGAAGGCUGAACACAGUGUCAGGAUUAGUGAGAGAAGCUGAGGAAAGCUGUGGCUAUUAAAGUUGAGAUGGAUACAAAUGAAGGUUGGACCAGUUCAUAAGAGAAAUCCUCUGAAAGUUACUGAUUGCAUAAGUCACCUCAUUCUCAUGCAAUCUGUGAGUACAAAUUGCUGAAAAUUAAAGGAAUAUUCAAUGGA